GGAGGGUGCGAGCGUUAAUCGGAAUUACUGGGCGUAAAGCGCGCGCAGGCGGCUGGGUCAGUCGGAUGUGAAAGCCCCGGGGCUUAACCUGGGAAUUGCAUUCGAUACUGCCCGGCUAGAGUAUGGGAGAGGGAAGUGGAAUUUCCGGUGUAGCGGUGAAAUGCGUAGAUAUCGGAAGGAACACCAGUGGCGAAGGCGGCUUCCUGGCCCAAUACUGACGCUCAGGUGCGAAGGCGUGGGGAGCGAACAGGAUUAGAUACCCUGGUAGUCCACGCUGUAAACGAUGAGAACUAGAUGUUGGGAGGGUUAGCCUCUCAGUGUCGCAGCUAACGCGUUAAGUUCUCCGCCUGGGGAGUACGACCGCAAGGUUG
rnacentral:rRNA from 1 species